UACGUAGGGGGCCAGCGUUGUCCGGAAUCAUUGGGCGUAAAGAGCGUGUAGGCGGCUCGGUAAGUCCGCUGUAAAAGUCAAAGGCUCAACCUUUGAAUGUCAGUGGAUACUGCCGGGCUAGAGUCCGGAAGAGGCGAGUGGAACUCCUGGUGUAGCGGUGGAAUGCGCAGAUAUCAGGAGGAACACCGGUGGCGAAGGCGGGUCUCUGGGCCGAUACUGACGCUGAGGAGCGAAAGCGUGGGGAGCGAACAGG
rnacentral:rRNA from 1 species